UACGAAGGGGGCUAGCGUUGCUCGGAAUCACUGGGCGUAAAGCGCACGUAGGCGGCCUGCUAAGUCGAACGUGAAAUCCCUGGGCUCAACCCAGGAACUGCGUCCGAUACUGGUUGGCUUGAAUCCGGGAGAGGGAUGUGGAAUUCCAGGUGUAGCGGUGAAAUGCGUAGAUAUCUGGAGGAACACCGGUGGCGAAGGCGACAUCCUGGACCGGUAUUGACGCUGAGGCGCGAAAGCCAGGGG
rnacentral:rRNA from 1 species